rnacentral:lncRNA from 1 species
GCUGCCUUCUCUGCAGGUUCACCAGCAAUGAGUACCAGGAUGCCCUCAGCAGGACCACCCAGGUCAUCCAGCAACACCAAAAGUCUUUGGUCCCUGGACAGCCCCAGCUCAAUGUGUGUAACCAGGCUGUCAUGAAUUGGGCGCCUCCAGGCUGUGAAAAACUAGGGAAGUGUCUGACACCUCCUGAGUCUGUCCCCGAGAAGUGUUUCUGGGCCCAUUAGCCAAGACCGAGAUCGCCAGACAGCCAGCCCGCCCCCACAGGAGCCCGGAAGGCCUCUGCCUGGGGACGGAUGGAUGGAAGCCACCAGCUGCCCUUGCCCUCCCAUCACUGGAUGGGCGGCCCCUGCAACCAGUAACAAGGCUCCAAGACUGCCCCUCCCGGAGCCCCGACCCUGGAGUCCGUUCUCUGGCACUGUGGCCCUUCUUGCCAACUGGAUACUGAAAAAGAAGAGGCUCUCCUGCCCCGGUGGCCUUGGUCACCAUGCGUGUUCCAGCCCGGUGUCUGAAGCGCUGUCACUUUGCCACCUCACUGUCCCUGCAUACAUUUCAACCUUGUAGACAAAAGUGAGGGUUUCAGCGUGAUGCCAAGGAGCCACCAUCUUCCUGGCCAUCCGUCCUCAGCCCCAGGCGGCCAACCCCCUGAGCCACCCUGCCUCUUUUCCCACUGGUUACAAACAAAAGACAAGGAGCACAUUUUCCAGUCAAGGCGAUGCUGUCACCACCCCAUGGAGAUAGGAAAACGAUAUCCUAAAUUUCUGGCCCUGGCUCAGUGCACUGUGGGGCCACUUCUUU